UGGCAGUGCAGUGCUAGUUGGCUGUUGUGGGCUUGAUGUGUAACAGUUGCUGGCUGCACUCCUUA
rnacentral:pre_miRNA from 1 species